rnacentral:tRNA from 3 species
GGAGAGGUGCCGGAGUGGUUGAUCGGGACGGUCUCGAAAACCGUUGUACCCGCAAGGGUACCGAGGGUUCGAAUCCCUCCCUCUCCG